rnacentral:rRNA from 1 species
GACGAACGCUGGCGGCGUGCUUAGCACAUGCAAGUCGAACGGAAAGGCCCUGCUUUUGUGGGGUGCUCGAGUGGCGAACGGGUGAGUAACACGUGAGUAACCUGCCCUUGACUUUGGGAUAACUUCAGGAAACUGGGGCUAAUACCGGAUAGGAGCCCCUGCUGCAUGGUGGGGGUUGGAAAGUUUCGGCGGUUGGGGAUGGACUCGCGGCUUAUCAGCUUGUUGGUGGGGUAGUGGCUUACCAAGGCUGUGACGGGUAGCCGGCCUGAGAGGGUGACCGGCCACAUUGGGACUGAGGUACGGCCCAGACUCCUACAGGAGGCAGCAGCGGGAAAUAUUGCACAAUGGGCGGAAGCCUGAUGCAGCAGCGCCGCGUGCGGGAUGACGGCCUUCGGGUUGUAAACCGCUUUCGCCUGUGACGAAGCGUGAGUGACGGUAAUGGGUAAAGAAGCACCGGCUAACUACGUG